rnacentral:rRNA from 1 species
UACAGAGGGGGCAAGCGUUGUUCGGAAUUACUGGGCGUAAAGGGCGCGUAGGCGGCCUUCUAAGUCGGACGUGAAAUCUCCGGGCUCAACCCGGGAACUGCGUCCGAUACUGGAAGGCUUGAAUCCGGGAGAGGGAUGUGGAAUUCCAGGUGUAGCGGUGAAAUGCGUAGAUAUCUGGAGGAACACCGGUGGCGAAGGCGGCAUCCUGGACCGAUAUUGACGCUGAUGCGCGAAAGCCAGGGGAGCAAACGGG